rnacentral:rRNA from 1 species
CCUACGGGUGGCAGCAGUGGGGAAUAUUGCGCAAUGGGCGAAAGCCUGACGCAGCGACGCCGCGUGCGGGAUGAAGGUCUUCGGAUCGUAAACCUCUGUCAGCAGGGAAGAACGGUCACUGUGCUAAUCAGCAGUGAAUUGACGGUACCUGCAAAGGAAGCACCGGCUAACUCCGUGCCAGCAGCCGCGGUAAUACGGAGGGUGCGAGCGUUAAUCGGAAUUACUGGGCGUAAAGCGCUCGUAGGCGGUAUGUCAAGUCAAGGGUGAAAUCCCCGCGCUCAACGUGGGAACUGCCUUUGAAACUGGCAAACUGGAGUGUGGUAGAGGAUAGUGGAAUUCCAGGUGUAGGGGUGAAAUGCGUAGAGAUCUGGAGGAACAUCAGUGGCGAAGGCGACUAUCUGGCACAUAACUGACGCUGAGGAGCGAAAGCGUGGGGAGCAAACAGGAUUAGAUACCCCAGUAGUC